UACGGGGGGGGCAAGCGUUGUUCGGAAUUACUGGGCGUAAAGGGCUCGUAGGCGGCCAACUAAGUCCGACGUGAAAUCCCCAGGCUUAACCUGGGAACUGCGUCGGAUACUGGAUGGCUUGAAUUCGGGAGAGGGAUGCAGAAUUCCAGGUGUAGCGGUGAAAUGCGUAGAUAUCUGGAGGAAUACCGGUGGCGAAGGCGGCAUCCUGGACCGGUAUUGACGCUGAGGAGCGAAAGCCAGGGGAGCAAACGGG
rnacentral:rRNA from 1 species